GAAAGACCCGCUCGAAAUGCCCCUGAGCCCCCUGCCCCGAAGCUGCCGGAGCCUCCCAAGCCUUCACCCCGGCAGGGCUCGCGCCCCCGGCCCGCCCCGCCUGGCACCACACCUCGGGGCUGGGGCCGAGCAACGAGCACCAGGUGGGCAGGCCCGAGAACGAGCACCAGGUAGGCUGGGCCGAGCAACGAGCACCAGGUGGGCAGGCCCGAGAAUGAGCACCGGGUGGGCCGGCACGAGGGCGAGCACCAGGUGGGUCGGCACGAGAACAAACACCGAGUGAGCCGGCCUGGAGCCCUGCCCCUGAGCCCCCGCCCGAAGAGAAACACUCCGUCCCAAGGUCUCCGCCCCCAAGGUCAGCCAUCAGGAAGGGGGGGGGAAUUGAGUCUGCUGUACCAGACACCAGACACCAGACCUUGAGAAUAUGCUGAUCUGGAAUGGCUCUGUGUCUUAUUUGAACCAUCCAAUAGAAAUGAUUCUGUAUUUCGCCUCAUUUGAAAGACUCUAUGUUUCACCUCAUUUGAAUAACUCUGUACUUUGCCUCAUUUGAAUAACCCUGUAUAGCGCCUCAUAUACAUUGACCAAUGGGAAUAGCUCUGUAUAAUGCCUCAUUAGAAUUAUCCAAUAGAAUCCCUACUCCUAGCUUGCGCCUUUUUCCCUAUAUAAGGACCCCUUUCCCUUGGCUCGAGGCGCUUAGCCACACAAAGGCUAAGUGGCCCCGGGUACCCGCGUCUCCAAUAAAGCCUCUUGUUUUUUGCAUCCAGUUCGUGGCCUCGCUGAUUCCUGGGUGUGUGGGUCUCCCUCUAUGAAAGUGUCUCUUCGGGGGUCUUUCAUUUGGGGGCUCGUCCGGGAUAGAGACCCCCGCCCAGGGACCACCGACCCACAUUUGGGAGAUUACGAGGCACCUCGGUUCCCGCACCUGGACCAGUGAGCGAGAUGCUCAGAUAUAAAACCUGCCGCCUGCCAGAACCUGGCCGAGACCGUGGACAAAGCUGCUGGACGCUGGAAAAUUGAUUGUACCCCUUUGCCUAGACAAAACAAGGUCAGUCUUUUCCAUGUCCCUCUUCCACAGAGAGAAAAUAAAACCUCUCACAAUAUAGGCCUGGCGAAGAUUGCUGUUCUUUGAGACAGCUGCCUCCAACGGUAAUGGAGAAACUUGGGUUUGGCUAACUGUAUAUGGACUUGCUUCUGACUGGCUUCUGUCCUUUUUAGUAGAUUCGGAUAAAAUAUACCCUUCUCAGAUCUCUGAAAUAUUACUGGUUGUCAGCUUGACAGCAUCAGACAGUCAGAUCCACUAUAGACUAGUCAGUAUGUUAGCUGAUAAAAUAAUGACUAUCUACUGUUCAGGCACAAGCUCAAGGUUUUUAAGUUUAUUUUGGUUGUCAUUUAAGUACAAACUUAAAGGGCUUUUCAUCAGGCCAAAGGCACCCCUGUCCAAUCCAUACUUAGCUCUCUGGACAGAAGAAAUAUACAUGCUUAUAGCUCAAAUCUGUAGUUCUUGCUAGGACUCAAAGUUAUAAAUAUGUUCUUGCUGUUUGAACAGAUAUCCAGAUAUCUGCUUUCUCUGCACUGUGGGCUUCAAUAAAUAAGUUUUAACCUCUGUUCCCAGUUUAAAUAUGUCUUAAACAGGUUUCUGCUUCUGACAGACAUCUGAAUAUCAGUUGCGGACUACAGGCUGUUCUAAGUAGACUGCGAGCCCUGGACUUGCUAUGGAUAUGAACCAGUCUGCUGAUAUGGACACCCCCUAUCUCUGCAACAGUGUCUGCUAACCAGAAGCCCCUGAUGGAUUCCCCAUUGCCUAAAUUCCUUUUUGCUUUUGACUAGCAUUUCAACCUUCUGGGGUCCCUAACUUCGUCCCAAAGUCAGCAGGAAGCAGUUUGGAAAGAAAUUUCGCCGUCCAUUUUCCCUGGUUAGAAUGCUAAGUCAAAAGGAACUCCCUUGCAUGGGGAUGCGAAACGACAGGGGAUGCUCACUGGAAGCCUUCAUCCUCAUGGGACAAGAUUCAGGUAACCAGAGGAUGGCAAAAGGGCUCCACCGGUACCACCUCUAUGCCUCUCCUUAUUUCCUUUACAGCGUAUUAGGGAAAUCAACCCGAUAUAAGAGGGAGCCAAUAUCCUUUACCGUGGCCCUAUUAUAAGGAGGGAUAACAGUGGGGGCCAUAGCAGCCGGCAUAGGGAAUUAAUCAUUUUAAGCUUCUACAACAAGCCAUGCACACAGAUAUCCAGGUCCUAAAAGAGUCAGUCAAUGCACUCGAGAAAUCCUUAACAUCACUCUCUGAGGUAGUCCUAUAACAGACCAUACAGGAAUAGUUAGAGGCAGCAUGGCCAAGCUAAGAGAAAGACCUAACCAGAGACCUCUGAAUGGAAGAUUCCAUUCAGUUACAAGAGAAAUGGGGGAAUGAAAGACCCGCUCGAAAUGCCCCUGAGCCCCCUGCCCCGAAGCUGCCGGAGCCUCCCAAGCCUUCACCCCGGCAGGGCUCGCGCCCCCGGCCCGCCCCGCCUGGCACCACACCUCGGGGCUGGGGCCGAGCAACGAGCACCAGGUGGGCAGGCCCGAGAACGAGCACCAGGUAGGCUGGGCCGAGCAACGAGCACCAGGUGGGCAGGCCCGAGAAUGAGCACCGGGUGGGCCGGCACGAGGGCGAGCACCAGGUGGGUCGGCACGAGAACAAACACCGAGUGAGCCGGCCUGGAGCCCUGCCCCUGAGCCCCCGCCCGAAGAGAAACACUCCGUCCCAAGGUCUCCGCCCCCAAGGUCAGCCAUCAGGAAGGGGGGGGGAAUUGAGUCUGCUGUACCAGACACCAGACACCAGACCUUGAGAAUAUGCUGAUCUGGAAUGGCUCUGUGUCUUAUUUGAACCAUCCAAUAGAAAUGAUUCUGUAUUUCGCCUCAUUUGAAAGACUCUAUGUUUCACCUCAUUUGAAUAACUCUGUACUUUGCCUCAUUUGAAUAACCCUGUAUAGCGCCUCAUAUACAUUGACCAAUGGGAAUAGCUCUGUAUAAUGCCUCAUUAGAAUUAUCCAAUAGAAUCCCUACUCCUAGCUUGCGCCUUUUUCCCUAUAUAAGGACCCCUUUCCCUUGGCUCGAGGCGCUUAGCCACACAAAGGCUAAGUGGCCCCGGGUACCCGCGUCUCCAAUAAAGCCUCUUGUUUUUUGCAUCCAGUUCGUGGCCUCGCUGAUUCCUGGGUGUGUGGGUCUCCCUCUACGAAAGUGUCUCUUCGGG
rnacentral:lncRNA from 1 species